rnacentral:rRNA from 1 species
GACGAACGCUGGCGGCGUGCUUAACACAUGCAAGUCGAGCGGUAAGGCCCUUUCGGGGGUACACGAGCGGCGAACGGGUGAGUAACACGUGGGUGACCUGCCCUCAGCUCUGGGAUAAGCCUGGGAAACCGGGUCUAAUACCGGAUAUGACUCCAUGACGCAUGUUGUGGGGUGGAAAGCCUUGUGCGGCUGAGGAUGGGCCCGCGGCCUAUCAGCUUGUUGGUGGGGUGAUGACCUACCAAGGCGACGACGGGUAGCCGGCCUGAGAGGGCGACCGGCCACACUGGGACUGAGACACGGCCCAGACUCCUACGGGAGGCAGCAGUGGGGAAUCUUGCGCAAUGGGCGAAAGCCUGACGCAGCGACGCCGCGUGAGGGAUGACGGCCUGG